CUCCGGAAGCCGCGGUCGUUUCUCCUACGGGAGGCAGCAGUGGGGAAUAUUGCACAAUGGGCGAAAGCCUGAUGCAGCGACGCCGCGUGAGUGAAGAAGUAUUUCGGUAUGUAAAGCUCUAUCAGCAGGGAAGAUAAAUGACGGUACCUGACUAUGAAGCC
rnacentral:rRNA from 1 species